AUCCUAUUUAGUGAAUUCUGAAAUAUUUAUCUAUAUAUGUAUCUUCUCUUCCAAGGCGAAAACUAGUUAUCUAAACAAAAAGAAUUAACUAGAUCAGUAGUCCAUACCUAUUCUGGCAUUCGGAGCUCAUAUUUUCUAUGGUCAUAAGAUGGCGAUUUUUUAUUAUUUUCGCUUCCUGUAGCUCAUCAUAUUCUGGUAAUUGACUCCCCAACUGAACGUGAAAUCAAUUGUACGUCUCAGUUGUUAUUCCUUUCCUCUGAAAUGAAUGACGAAAGUUAUUUUUCUUAAAAUUGUUUUCAUUAAAAAAUCUGUUUUUUAGUGUGUAGCUACCGUAAAAUGUUUAUCAAUAGGAAGAAAAAGACUUUCCUCAUUUUCGGGUAGAAAUCAUUUUCCUUAUAACUUUUUAGUUGUUUAUUCCAUCUACACACCUAGAAAUUAUUAUUAUUAUUAAUAAUCUUUAGUACACAAAUAAUUUUUCAAAACACGCACCGAUUUGUUAAUAUUAUUAUUAAAUUUUAAUAUAUUUUUUCGAAAAUAUUUUCUACUCAUCGGGCAAAUAUUUUCUGGCGUUCUCUUGUAUAAUGACUUUUGUCAUACCAACCCACUGGACAUGAUUCCAUUUUAAUGAAUUCGCAUGUUUUAAAACUCCAUGUACUAUAAAACAGAAAUUUCGUUAUAAUUUUAAAAAUUUGAAAAAGAAAUUUUUUUUGGAAUAAGUGAUAAAUAUAUAUACUCCAUAUUUUUAGCAUUGUUUUGAUUGUGUUUUAUAUGCACUGCUUGUUUUAUCUGCUUAUAUUAUUGUAUGAAUUUCUCUGAUCUGAUCGUCUUGUUUAUUUGUUUUCCACUUUCUUUCGAUGAUUGCGUAUCACAAAGAAAUAUGCAAUAAUGAUCUGUUAAUCUGGAUAGCAUCAUAUGAUAUUUUAGCCAAAAGAGUUGAAUUAAUGAUCGAGUUGGGUCAUAAUUUAUCCAAAAUUUUUAGGUCAAGAUGAGCAGGUCAAUUUGGAUUAUAACUCAAUCCACUCAACUCAAAAUUAUUUUUUAUUUAUUUAUUUAUUUAUUUCCAAUUUGUUCGUCACCAAAUCAAACUAACAAAAGCUUUUCGUUAAUUUACUAUGAAUAUAUCUACCGACAAAAUGAAAGUCUUUUUAUGAGUCAAUUUGAGCUAAAUGGAUUGUCCAAGUUGACCCAAACUCUUAGAUGAGUUAAUUGAUAGCCAAACUGAUCCAUCACUAAAUUUAUAGUAAAUUUGUCCUUUUUAAUUUCCUUUUUAGCUACAUUUUACAUAUGAGAAUUCUUGCCCUUGCUUCCCAUGAAAUUGAUAAUUAGAAUUGAUAAUGGUGCAUGUAUUAUAAUCCUCUAUAAAUGAAUAAAAUUGCAGUGCAACAAGAUCUGAUGAGUCAAAUUCUAUGAGAGCAAAUCAAAGGCCUUGUAAUUAUCAACUAAUUCAGCUCAGUAUUUUCUCAUCAUCAAUCUUGUUGUGCCAAUUAGCAAAGGAAAAUGGAUGAUCGUAGGGGCGGAACUAAAGUGACAGGAAUUAGACAAAUUGUGAGACUCAAACAGUUGUUACAUAAAUGGCAAAAUGUCACACUUAGCCCUAAGGGGAAAAACCACCAAAAACUCGGCUGUGUAAAAUCCUCGAAUCGGAAAAACGAUUCCUAUGGAGGCAUAUCUCCAUCUAUAAGCAAGAGAUUACGGAGCUCCAGUGUAUACUGGGGAGACUCAGACGAGGAUAAUUGCCAGAGUCCCGAACCGCCUCAUGGUAUACCAAGAGGAUAUUUAGCAGUUUAUGUUGGACCAGAACUUAGGAGAUUUAUAAUUCCCACAAGUUAUCUUAGUGACCCUUUAUUUAAAGUGUUGUUGGAAAAAGUUGAGGAAGAAUUUGGCUUUGAUCAUAGUGGUGGACUUACUAUCCCUUGUGAAAUUGAGACUUUCAAGUUUCUCUUGCAAUGUAUGGAGAAACAUCAGAGAUUUCACCCUACUGAUCAUCACAAUGAUUCUGGUAAUGUUCUUUCCUUUUCCAUUCUUUAUUUUCCUUGGUGUUUAACUUCUAUGUAUUAAUUAGAUUAAAGUAUUUAUAAUCAGAUCACAGUCAAUAAGAAAUAAUAACAGGAUAACUAAUCUCAGUAUAACUAAUCCCAACAUAACUAAUCCAAGCAUAACUUGUCUUCAAACCAAAUGACCCCUUGUAGUAAGUACAGUAAUUACAAGUAAAUAUUUAUGAUAAACAUUUAUUAAGAAUCUGGUAAAAAUGAUAACGAACAUACUAGCUUGUAUCGUAUAACAACCAUCUAAAUAAAGAAUCUUUACGCUGCCGUGUACAUAAACUAAAAUUCAUAUUCCAUUGAGCUACGAUGUAAUACGCAUUUUGAACAUCACUUAAUAAGUUAAUUACAAAUAAAAUUUUAUGACAUACGUCAAUUAGAAACCUGAUGGUAUAAAGAUUUAUACGGUUGAUGUAUAUAAUUUAAAUCCAUACAUUUUCCAUAUAAAUGCUGAAUUUUUGGUUUCAGGAGAAGGGAUUAUGAUUUCAAUGCAAGCCGGAUCUUCAUUGCCAGUUGAGGAGUAACUACCAAUGAUCUUAAUUAUACAAUUAGUGAUGGUUAAUUUUUGGGCUGAUUUUUUUUCUUCUUUUUUUCUUCUCCUGGUUUAAAAGAUACGAAGGUCUGCUUGUACUUUAUAUUUUACUACUAUCACUUUAUCAACACUAUCUUUUUUAUUUAUAUCUGUUCAAAUAAAAUCUGAUGAAAAACAAAAAGGAAGAGGAAAGAAAAAGAGGUCAUAGAUAGAUUUUUAUCUAGUUUCAUUUAACAUAAAGUUAGAGCAAAAGGCUUGACCAAUUGUAUUGUGAUUACCUCGUCUUAGUAUUAACUCAAUAUUCAAGAAAUCCAGUAUUUCGUAAAA
rnacentral:lncRNA from 1 species